rnacentral:lncRNA from 1 species
AAAAAAGCAUCUAUUUUUGGGCAUACAAAUGUCAUUGAGCCCACCUUGUAUAUUUAUUAAACUCAUAAUGGAUUUUAAUCUGUUUUAGACUUUAUUUAUUUUUUAUUUCGCUACCACUUAUCAACAUGAUAUCAUGAGAUUGAGAUUGCUCUAAUAUAUCAUAUCUUCUCCAUAUGUGUAUCUUCUUUCUAUUCCUUGUCAAAUAUUUUGGCUUAUUUCUCUUCAUCCUUCAUACUUCACCUUUCAGUUUUUUCACACGUGUUAUUCUUUCAUUCAUUA